GAUGAAGAACGUAGCGAAAUGCGAUAAGUAGUGUGAAUUGCAGAAUUCAGUGAAUCAUCGAAUCUUUGAAUGCACAUUGCGCCCUUUGGUAUUCCAAAGGGCAUGCCUGUUCGAGCGUCAUUUGUACCCUCAAGCUUUGCUUGGUGUUGGGCGUCUUGUCUCUAGCUUUGCUGGAGACUCGCCUUAAAGUAAUUGGCAGCCGGCCUACUGGUUUCGGAGCGCAGCACAAGUCGCACUCUCUAUCAGCAAAGGUCUAGCAUCCAUUAAGCCUUUUUUUCAACUUUUGACCUCGGAUCAGGUAGGGAUACCCGCUGAACUUAAGCAUAUCAAUAAGCGGAGGA
rnacentral:misc_RNA from 1 species